CUCUCGGUAGCCAAGUUGGUUUAAGGCGCAAGACUGUAAAUCUUGAGAUCGGGCGUUCGACUCUCCCCCGGGAGA
rnacentral:tRNA from 2 species